rnacentral:rRNA from 1 species
GUUGUGGUGGAAAGCUUUUGCGGUGUGGGAUGGGCCCGCGGCCUAUCAGCUUGUUGGUGGGGUAAUGGCCUACCAAGGCGACGACGGGUAGCCGGCCUGAGAGGGUGACCGGCCACACUGGGACUGAGAUACGGCCCAGACUCCUACGGGAGGCAGCAGUGGGGAAUAUUGCACAAUGGGCGCAAGCCUGAUGCAGCGACGCCGCGUGGGGGAUGACGGCCUUCGGGUUGUAAACCUCUUUCAGCACAGACGAAGCGUGAGUGACGGUAUGUGCAGAAGAAGCACCGGCCAACUACGUGCCAGCAGCCGCGGUAAUACGUAGGGUGCGAGCGUUGUCCGGAAUUACUGGGCGUAAAGAGCUCGUAGGUGGUUUGUCGCGUUGUUCGUGAAAACUCACAGCUUAACUGUGGGCGUGCGGGCGAUACGGGCAGACUGGAGUACUGCAGGGGAGACUGGAAUUCCUGGUGUAGCGGUGGAAUGCGCAGAUAUCAGGAGGAACACCGGUGGCGAAGGCGGGUCUCUGGGCAGUAACUGACGCUGAGGAGCGAAAGCGUGGGGAGCGAACAGGAUUAGAUACCCUGGUAGUCCACGCCGUAAACGGUGGGUACUAGGUGUGGGUUUCCUUCCUUGGGAUCCGUGCC